rnacentral:rRNA from 1 species
GGUGAACGUUGGCGGCGUGCCUAAUACAUGCAAGUCGAGCGAAUGACGAGGAGCUUGCUCCUCUGAUUUAGCGGCGGACGGGUGAGUAACACGUGGGUAACCUGCCUGUAAGACGGGGAUAACUCCGGGAAACCGGAGCUAAUACCGGAUGAUAACGAGAAGCGCCUGCUUCUUUUUUGAAAGUCGGUUUCGGCUGAUGCUUACAGAUGGGCCCGCGGCGGGUUAGCUAGUUGGUGAGGUAACGGCUCCCCGAGGCGACGAUGCGUAGCCGCCCUGAGAGGGUGAUCGGCCACACUGGGACUGAGAAACGGCCCAGACGCCUACGGGAGGCAGCAGUAGGGAAUCUUCGGCAAUGGACGAAAGUCUGACCGAGCAACGCCGCGUGAGCGAUGAAGGCCUUCGGGUCGUAAAGCUCUGUUGUCAGAGAAGAACAAGUACCGGAGUAACUGCCGGUACCUUGACGGUACCUGACCAGAAAGCCACGGCUAACUACGUGCCAGCCGCCGCAGUAACAC